CAAAGAGCGCAAGGGGAAUGCCUUGGCACUGGGAGCCGACGAAGGACGUAGCGAUCUACGAUAAGCCACGGUGAGCCGAAAGCAGGCAUCGACCCGUGGAUUUCCGAAUGGGGCAACCUGGCUGAAUAGAACUCAGUCAACAUACGGUGAAUAAAAUAGUCGUAUGUAGGGAACCGCCUGAACUGAAACAUCUAAGUAGGGCGAGGAAAAGAAAUCAACCGAGAUUCCGCAAGUAGUGGCGAGCGAACGCGGAAGAGGCCAAACCGAGAGUAGUAAUACUUUCGGGGUUCGGACAGCGGACGGUAUGCUGAAGGUUAGCAGAAGGACAUGGGACGGUCCACCAAAGAGAGUGAGAGUCUCGUAUGCGAAAACUGAAAGCAGCCAGCUGAAUCCAGAGUACCGCCGGACACGUGAAACCCGGUGGGAAUAUGGGGGGACCAUCCUCCAAGCCUAAAUACUACCCAGUGACCGAUAGCGUAUAGUACUGUGAAGGAAAGGUGAAAAGAACCCCGGGAGGGGAGUGAAAAGAACCUGAAACCUUGUGCUUACAAGCACACAAAGCACGUCAACGUGUGAUGUGGUACCUUUUGUAGAAUGGUCCGGCGAGUGAAUGUAACUGGCGAGGUUAAGUUCUUAAGGAACGGAGCCGAAGCGAAAGCAAGUCUGAAUAGGGCGUCUUAGUCAGUUGUAUUCGACCCGAAACCGGGUGACCUAUCCAUGUCCAGGAUGAAGUUAAGGUAAAACUUGAUGGAGGUCCGAACCCACGGUCGUUGAAAUGCCCGGGGAUGAGAUGUGGAUAGCGGAGAAAUUCCAAUCGAACCCGGAUAUAGCUGGUUCUCUCCGAAAUAGCUUUAGGGCUAGCCUCGACUGAACAUUACCGGAGGUAGAGCACUGAAUGGGCUAGGGGCCGAGAGGUUACUGAACCCUAUCAAACUUCAAAUGCCGGAAAAUGAUAGUCGGGAGUCAGACUGCGUGAGAUAAGUUUCGUAGUCGAAAGGGAAACAGCCCAGACCCACAGCUAAGGUCCCAAAGUACGGUUAAGUGGAAAAGGAUGUGGAGUUGCACAGACAACCAGGAUGUUGGCUUAGAAGCAGCCACUCAUUAAAAGAGUGCGUAAUAGCUCACUGGUCGAGUGACUCUGCGCCGAAAAUUUAACGGGGCUAAAUCGUACACCGAAGCUUGGGAUGUAUCUAUGAUACAUGGUAGGAGAGCGUUGAAUGCGGGGUGAAGUCAGAGCGAAAGCGCUGGUGGACUGCAUUGAAGUGAGAAUGCCGGAAUGAGUAGCGAGAUUUAUGUGAGAAUCAUAAAGGCCGAAAGACUAAGGUUUCAGAAGGAAGGUUCGUCCGCUUCUGGUUAGCCGGGAGCUAAGGUGAGGCCGAAAGGCGUAGCCGAUGCACAUACGGUGGAGAUUCCGUAGCCGUCGAAAUAUUUAAGCAAAGGGACACUUAUGAAGGACAUGACCCGGGCGAUGGUAGCCCCGGGCGUAAGGGACCGAAAACAAGUAGGGAAGCAUGUUUGGAUUAAGGCGAGAAAAGCUUUGUGUAUAUAUGAGACGUCCGUACCGCAAACCGACACAGGUAGUCAGGAAGAGGAUUCUAAGGCCAACGGGAGAAGGGUAGUUAAGGAACUCGGCAAAUUGACCCCGUAACUUCGGGAUAAGGGGCGGUGCGUAAGCACCCGCAGUGAAUAGGUCCAGGCGACUGUUUAUCAAAAACACAGCUCUCUGCUAAAUCGAAAGAUGACGUAUAGGGGGUGACACCUGCCCGGUGCUGGAAGGUUAAGAGGAGGAGUGCAAGCUCCGAAUUGAAGCCCCAGUAAACGGCGGCCGUAACUAUAACGGUCCUAAGGUAGCGAAAUUCCUUGUCGGGUAAGUUCCGACCCGCACGAAUGGUGUAACGAUCUGGACGCUGUCUCAACUGCCCACCCGGCGAAAUUGUAGUACCGGUGAAGAUGCCGGUUACCCGCGGCAAGACGGAAAGACCCCAUGGAGCUUUACUGUAACUUGAUAUUGGGUCUUGGUAUUCUAUGUACAGGAUAGGCGGGAGACUAUGAAACAUACACGCCAGUGUAUGCGGAGUCACCCUUGGGAUACCGCUCUUAGAGUACUGAGAUUCUAACCUGCGGCCGUGAAUCCGGUCGGGGGACAUUGUCAGGUGGGCAGUUUGACUGGGGCGGUCGCCUCCUAAAAGGUAACGGAGGCGCUCAAAGGUUAGCUCAGCACGGUCGGAAACCGUGCCUCUGAGUGCAAACGCAAAAGCUAGCCUAACUGCGAGGCUGACGGGCCGAGCAGUAACGAAAGUUGGAGUUAGUGAUCCGGCGGUAUGUGAAUGGAAAUGCCGUCGCUCAACGGAUAAAAGCUACCCUGGGGAUAACAGGCUGAUCUCCCCCAAGAGUCCACAUCGACGGGGAGGUUUGGCACCUCGAUGUCGGCUCAUCACAUCCUGGGGCUGAAUUCGGUCCCAAGGGUUCGGCUGUUCGCCGAUUAAAGUGGUACGCGAGCUGGGUUCAGAACGUCGUGAGACAGUUCGGUCCCUAUCUGUCGUGGGCGCAGGAUAUUUGAGGAGUGCUGUCCUUAGUACGAGAGGACCGGGAUGGACGCACCUCUGGUGCACCAGUUGUCACGCCAGUGGCACAGCUGGGCAGCUAUGUGCGGAACGGAUAAACGCUGAAAGCAUCUAAGCGUGAAGCCGCCUCCAAGAUAAGAUAUCCCAUAGCAUAAGCUAGUAAGACCCCUCAUGGACUAAGAGGUUGAUAGGCUGCAUGUGUAAGCGUGGUGACACGUUUAGCUUGGCAGUACUAAUAGGUCGAGGGCUUGACUU
rnacentral:rRNA from 1 species